rnacentral:lncRNA from 1 species
AUGGAGGAGAGAGGCAAGAACAAGUGAACCAGAAGACAGAAUCAUAGAAAUUACCCAAUCAGAACAAGAGAAAAAGAAAGAAACUAAACAAAAAAAUACAAACACAAAGAACAGAGCCUGAGGGAUCCAAGAAACUAUAACAAGAGAUGUAACAUUCAUGUCACUGGAGUCCAAAAGAGGAGAAGAAAGAAAGCAGGACUGAAAAAGUACUCAAAAAAAUAAUGGCUGAAAACUUCCCAAAUUUGGGAAGAGACACAAACUACAUAUUCAAGAAGCUGAGAAAACACCAAACAAUAAAAAUCUAAAGAAAUCUACACCAAGAACCAUCAUAAUGAAACUUCUAAAAACUAAAGACAAAGAAAAAAACUUUAAAACAGUCAGACAAAAAUAAACCUUUAUAUACAGGGAGAAAACAAUUAGAAAUACAGUAGAUUUCUCAUCGGAAGCAAUGGAAGCCAGAAGGAAGUGGCAUAACAUUUUUCAGGUGAUGAAAGAAAGAAAUGUCAAACAAGAAUCCUAUACCCAGCAAAAUAUCCUUCAGGAAUUAGGGAGAAAUCAAGAUAGUCUCAUAUGAAGGAAAACUAAGAGAAUUUGUCACCGUGGACUUACCCUAAAAGAAUGGCUAAAGGAAGUAUCCUAAACAGAAAGGAAAUAAUAAAAAAAAGGAACCUUGAAACUUCACUGUGGUAGGCAGAAAAAUGUUCACAUCCUAAACCUCAAAACAAAAAAAUAUGUUACCUCACACAGAAUAGGAUAAUUAAGGUUGCAGAUGGAAUUAAGUUUGCUAACCAGCUGACUUUAAGAUAGGGAGAUUAUCCUGGAUUAUCUGGAUGGGCUCAACGUAACCACAAGGGUCUUUAGAAGUAGAAAAGGGAGAAAGAAGUGAAGGUCAGAAUGAUGCAGUGUGAGAAGGAUCAGAUCCUCUGUGCUGGCUUUGAAAUUAGAGAAAUGAGACCAUGAGCCAAGGAAUGUGGGCAACCCAUUGAAGCUGUAAAAGGCAAAGAAAUGCCUCCAGAAAGGAUUGCAGAGCAGCCAAUACUUUGAUCUAAACCCAUGGAGACAUGUGUCAGAGUUCUGACCUACAGAAGUGUAAAAUAAUAAUUUUGUAUUGUUUUAAGCCACUCACUUUGUGGUAAUUUGGUAAAGCAGCAAUAAACAAUAAAGAAAAACAACUAGACAGAAAAUCAGCAAAGAUAUAGAACUCAAAACACCAUAAACCAAAAGGAUCUAAUCAACAUUUAUAUAACACCCCACCCAACUACAACAGUACACAUUCUUUUCAAGUACCCAUGGAAAACACAAGAGAGACUAUAUCAUGAGCUGGAAAACAUAGUUCAACUAUAAAAGAACGAAAAUCAUAUAGAUUGUGUUCGCCAAAUACAAUGGAAUCAAACUAGAAAUCAACAAUAGAAAGAUAACAGGAAAAUAUCCAAAUACAUGGAAAUUAAAGAACAUAUUUCUAAAUAAUCCAUAGGUCAAAGAAGAAUUAUCAAGGGAAAUAAAAAAUACAUUGAACUGAAUGAAAAAGAAAGCACAACAUAUCAAAAUUUGUGGGACACAGCUAAAGCAGGGCUGAGGAAAAUUUGAAGCAGUAA